GUCUAUUUGAAGGUAUUAAUAGUCUGGCCUGCUCACUGACAUAAUAUAAUGUUAAAGAGCCGCGGUAUCCUGACCGUGCAAAGGUAGCAUAAUCAUUAGUUCUUUAAUUGAGAACUCGUAUGAACGGUCGGACAAGAGAAACCCUGUCUCUGCUAUUAUAUUAGAAUUUAACUUUUAAGUGAAAAGGCUUAAAUUUUUCAAGGGGACGAUAAGACCCUAUAAAGCUUUAUAUAUUAAUUAGAAUUUAUUAAAUUGAACAUAUAAAAAUUUAGUCUUAAAAAUAUAUUUAGUUGGGGCGACGAAAGUAUAAUUGAUAAUAACUGCUUAAACUUAAUACAAUAAUAAAUGAUUUUUUUUUAAUUGAUCCUUUUUAAAGAUUAAAGACCAAGUUACUUUAGGGAUAACAGCGUAAUUUCUUUUGAGAGUUCAUAUCGAAGAAGAAGUUUGCGACCUCGAUGUUGAAUUAAAAUAUCUUUAUAGUGCAGCAGCUAUAAAAAGAAGGUCUGUUCGACCUUUAAUUUUUUACAUGAUUUGAGUUCAGACCGGCGAGAG
rnacentral:rRNA from 1 species